rnacentral:lncRNA from 1 species
UAUAAUCUAAUCAUCUUAAUCAUUAAUUUAUAUCUACUAAAAGCUUAUGCUUCUUUUUUUUGUGUGCAUAAGAAACUAUAUAUCCAAUUCAAAAUGGUGGAAUUCAGAGAGUGGGUCGCGUCGAACGUCGGACGUUACGUCCUAUCAAAUACAGGUUUUUGGAUUAGGCCAAGUCCUGUUUCGUCAUUGGACUAGUAUCUCGAUUUUUUUCUUUUAUAGUGACAUGUCUACUAACCAUCCCUCCUAAAUUCGGUCCCCAAAUUCUUCUAUUGAAUUGUAAAUCAAAGACCGACGGUUGUACAAUCGGACAUCGUUUUAUUUCGCGAUUUUACUUUAUAUAACGCUUCAAGGAUUAUAAUAAAUUAUUUCGAUAUUGAAUAAUCCUUUGGAUCUUUCAUUACACAUUGGUUACUCAUUUAUAUAAAAUACUUAUAGUGUUGUGUGUCUAAUUUAAGCUCCAAUCUUUAGCAAUCGAUUUAAAAGGAAAGUACACUUUUCAAUAUGUUUCUCUACUCUCGCGUACGUGACUAACCCUUGCGUAUUGUACCACCUCUUUAAUUGCUAGCGACGAAAGAGGAUUCAAAGAAUAAAAGAAAGAGAGAAAGAGAGAGAGAGAGAGAGAGUGAGAGAAGAGAACGAAGCAGCCUGGAGGCAUCCUCGCUCAAAAUAAAUACUACAAGGCCAACGUCCCUUUGCCCGCUUCGAUGGAACAGGUGGCUCCAAUUAAACUCCAAUUACCUGUGUAUCUAGUUCUUAUUUGUCCUAGUAGCAAUCGGGAUACAGCUUUCGAAUAUUCCUAUGGGAGAGCUUGAGUCUCUGUACAAUCGGGCCGCCUAUUUAAAGAACCGCCAUUAGAUGAGACAAAAAUAUCAUUCAGAAUGGACAAAAAGUCGAUAUGAAUAUAACGAAUUAUAGUGUUCCAUGUCAACACGAAUACAAAUUAAGUUGAAAAAGGUGGUAACGAAUGCGAGUGGACUCUUUAACGAGAAAAUGUUACGUAUAGUGAGACCAUUUCAUUGUUUACAUUUAGACUGAAUAUUCACACGAAAGAGCGGGGACCUCGUGGCAGGACAUCGAAGCUUACCAUCAAGGGCAAACGAUCUCACUACCAACACUAAAUACUAUAGAGUCGCUCGAGCGUGCAAUAAACCAUUCAUCCGUGUCUAAUCGAUUCCGAAACACGUAAAUCCAUGGUCUGGGACCGUCGUCGACUAUAUCCUAUGCAUUUUUCAAAUAUUCGAACGUGUAGGUAUUAAAAUACUUCAUACAUAAUCCUUGAUUCGUACGUAUGACGAAAAGAUUCGAACGAUUCUGUUACGAUAGAAAUCAUUUGGACGAAUUGUAAAAUUAUUUAUUUUUAUCUUAUGUUAAUAUUCUGUCGAUAAACGUUAACUGAUUUUUUGAAAGAAAAAGUAAAUUGAGAAAAGAAAGAGAAUAUUUGAAAAGAUUUGAAAAGAUUUGAAAAAAGGAAAAACCGAAAGCGUGACAGUUGAUUGUGAAAUAGGCUAAUUGAAUAUCUAAAACGAAAGGAAAGAAAAUAAAUCGAAAUCAAUAUAAUAUGAUAAUAAGUGAGUAAUACGGGGAUAAAUAUAUCUACUUAGCUAAUUACAUCCGGACAUUUGAGCGAUACUUCUCAUUUAUGUCAACCCCGAUCCUCCCUUCAGCACGAGUAGCCUACUUUAGAAAAGGAGGUUCAUUAUAUUGGAUGAAGUGAACCGCGUCGAUCUAAAAACCACCGACGUGAUCGCUGGAUGGUGGUUUACUUUUAACUUUUCUGUCUCCCUGCGAACAUUUUAAUAACAUAUCUACGAUAAAAAAGAUAAUUACGUUUAUUAAAAAGUAAUAGAGUUAUCUAAGUCGUAUAAUAAAUUCAAUGAAAGUAAACACGUAAGAACCCAAAUAAAUACGUCGUAUCGUUCUAAACGUUAAAAUUAAAUAGGCAGGAUAUUUUCUCGAAUAGAAAUAAAAACGUAAGAUUAUAUUUAAUCGUUGUGUUAAAAAAGAAAAAAAAACGAAAAUAUAGACGGUAGCCGAAUUCUUUUGAUAAAAUUGAAACGUUUAAAAGUUUUUUGACACCAUCUUGCGCGUGUGCGAUAUCUUUGCUUAUUAAUAAUCGUGAGUAGUGCUAUAUAGAUAUAGGUGAUACGUAACAGCAAUCAUAUCUUUGUCAGAAGUCUAUAGCUGACUCUUUCGUCACGCCUCUCAUGUAUCCUUCGGCUUAUCCACCAUGUACAAUUGGAUUUAUCAAGUUAGAGCUGAAACGUAGCGAACCCGAUGUAUUUCCUGUUCGACUCUGGCGUACAACACGAGCGAGUGUCGGAUGAGCCUACCAAAUACGACGAAACGACGUAUAGUACCAAUGUAACGAUGGAUCUCGUCGAACGAAUCAUCUCAAAUUGAACGGCCUAUACAUAUUUGUUUUUUUUUUCGAUUUAUAUUGUCAAUGGAUAUCUUAAUUGAUUAUUCUAAACAUUUUUUAUUCGAUACUUAAUACUUACAUCGUUUUAAAUCUGUAUAAAAUGGAUUGAGAUAAAAUGGUAAAUGGCUAAAACAUAUCCACGAUAAAAAAACUUCAAAAUAUACAUUUGGAAAUGUAUAUUUAAAAAAACAAAUAAAAAGAAAGGAAAAAUAUAAUGCGCUUUGAAAAAGAGACAGUCCUUCAAAAACGCAUAUACCCAUCGUUGUUACCCGGAAAAGGCCGAUUAAUUCGCAAAAGCACGCGCAACGUAUUUUCUGCGAUAACGUUUAACAGUUUAUCGAAUAAAGUGAUACGGAUAUAUAUCGGUCGACCAAUCGAGAUGGGUUUCAUAUUCACCGCCAAUAUUUGAACGUUUAAUGCGCGUGUAACACGUCCAAAACCCGCAUUUAUUGUUGGCAAGCAUUUUCGUUCAAAGCAUUUACAAUUCCACUUUAUUGCCUUUCGGCUUAUCCGGGAUUGUGCAAGUGCAUUUACGAGUCGCGUUUCAUUCUGAUAAUUGCCAUUAAGUUAACGAACUGCAAUAUGGAUAUUCGAACGCGAUCGUGGAAUAUUCCGAUUAACGUACGUAAAUAAGAUUACCUAGCACCGAACAACAGAUUAUUAUACAUUUCGUAAAUGUUACACGUAUUAUUUGAAAAUAAGACAAUAAAGGAGCUAUUGAAUCAUAGGAGCGAAUAUUUCGUUUCAAUUAUGAUUCAUGAUUUUAUGUUAAAAACGUUAAAUCAGUUCAAAGCGGAUGACAUUUUCGAAUAGAAUCGAUAGAAUAUUAAAUAUACCAAUAAAUAACUUAUUCAUUUAGUAAUUGUUUGAAGUACCUAUAUCAAGAAAACUUAAAUCCCAUUCCUAGAAACAAAUUAAUUUUGUAUUUGUAUAAAAAGCAGAAUCUUAUUAAAAAGAAGAAGAGAAGAAAACCGAGGCCACUGAUUUCGUGAAAUCGCGUAUAUGCUGAAAAAGCUUUUCGUUUGAAGAAAAUAUCCGGUUACAGGAGACGCGUUCUUGAGUCGUCCUCGAUCGAAGAGUAAGUAGAGAACUCGAAGUCGAAGUAGAAAGAGGUGAAAGGGAAAAAGAGAGAUCAAGUAAACGGGGGUAUAGUGCGUGGACCCUUCGAAUACGCGGAAGUCGGCGAACGGCGCUUCGAAACGCCAAGCGGCAUUAGGCGAAUUUUAUUAUUCUCCGAUUUCAAGGUUCGCUGCGCUGCAAUGAAGGAGGAUAGAAACGGCAAGUGCAUUUUGCGGCAAACGAGCCACGCCGACAUCUCGGUGUAAUCAGACACUGGCGACGUGCUGCUGAAGCUGUAGAAA